rnacentral:piRNA from 1 species
UGACGUAAACCGUGAUAUGGCCU